GACGAACGCUGGCGGCGUGCCUAAUACAUGCAAGUCGAACGGUAACGACAGAGAGCUUGCUCUCUGGGCGACGAGUGGCGGACGGGUGAGUAAUAUAUAGGAACCUUCCUCAUAGUUUGGGAUAACUACUCGAAAGAGUGGCUAAUACCGGAUGUGGACUACGGUUUAAAGCAGGGGAUCUUCGGACCUUGCGCUACGAGAUGGGCCUAUACAAGAUUAGCUAGUUGGUGAGGUAAAUGCUCACCAAGGCGACGAUCUUUAGCUGGGUUUGAGAGGAUGACCCAGCCACACUGGGGACUGAGACACGGGCCCCAGACUCCUACGGGGAGGGGCAGCAGUGGGGGGAAUCUUGGGGACAA
rnacentral:rRNA from 1 species